rnacentral:sRNA from 1 species
AGAGUCGAGAGUGGGAGAAGAGCGGAGCGUGUGAGCAGUACUGCGGCCUCCUCUCGUCUCCGAACCUCGCUCUCACGGCCUACUUUUACCCGCCCGCCUGCUCGGCGCCCAGAACACCUUCCACCAUGACCACCUCAGCAAGUUCCCACUUAAAUAAAGGCAUCAAGCAGGUGUACAUGUCCCUGCCUCAGGGUGAGAAAGUCCAGGCCAUGUAUAUCUGGAUUGAUGGUACUGGAGAAGGACUGCGCUGCAAGACCCGGACCCUGGACAGUGAGCCCAAGUGUGUGGAAGAGUUGCCUGAGUGGAAUUUCGAUGGCUCUAGUACUUUGCAGUCUGAGGGUUCCAACAGUGACAUGUAUCUCGUGCCUGCUGCCAUGUUUCGGGACCCCUUCCGUAAGGACCCUAACAAGCUGGUGUUAUGUGAAGUUUUCAAGUACAAUCGAAGACCUGCAGAGACCAAUUUGAGGCACACCUGUAAACGAAUAAUGGACAUGGUCCAUAUUACUGUGGUGUGGGAGCAGACAGAGCCUAUGGCAGGGACAUCGUGGAGGCCCAUUACCGGGCCUGCUUGUAUGCUGGAGUCAAGAUUGCGGGGACUAAUGCCGAGGUCAUGCCUGCCCAGGUAAAUGUAGCUCCAAUCCAUCAAUGAAGAAGGGUAAGUGGGUACACAUAGGACUUUUGCU